GUAGGGGUGUGCAUGGUCGGAUAUUUUCAAAAACCAAACCAUAUCCAAACCAAAACCACUUAAAUGGAUUAGGAUUCAUAACCAUAAUCACAUUUUCCUACAAACCGGUUACAUAACCGGUUAUAAAUUUGGUUAUGGUUGCAUAACCGGUUACUUUUAAAAAAACUGGUUUAAAUUCAGUUAUUUUCUUAAAUCCGGUUAUUUAUAAGUCCAAAUUUAAAACUAGUUAUUUCUUAGUUUAAAAAUCAGUUUUUUUUUUUUUACUAAUAGUUUAAAAAUCAGUUAUUACUUGAAACUGGUUGUUUCUCUCUCAAAAUUAUUUUUUAAAACCAAAUUUUACUGUAACAAGAGAAAACUCAAACUUUGAAUUUAAAAAAUGAA
rnacentral:lncRNA from 1 species